rnacentral:rRNA from 1 species
AUUGAACGCUGGCGGCAGGCCUAACACAUGCAAGUCGAACGGUAACAGGAGGCAGCUUGCUGCUUCGCUGACGAGUGGCGGACGGGUGAGUAAUGUCUGGGAAACUGCCUGAUGGAGGGGGAUAACUACUGGAAACGGUAGCUAAUACCGCAUAACGUCGCAAGACCAAAGAGGGGGACCUUCGGGCCUCUUGCCAUCGGAUGUGCCCAGAUGGGAUUAGCUAGUAGGUGGGGUAACGGCUCACCUAGGCGACGAUCCCUAGCUGGUCUGAGAGGAUGACCAGCCACACUGGAACUGAGACACGGUCCAGACUCCUACGGGAGGCAGCAGUGGGGAAUAUUGCACAAUGGGCGCAAGCCUGAUGCAGCCAUGCCGCGUGUAUGAAGAAGGCCUUCGGGUUGUACAGUACUUUCAGCGGGGAGGAAGGGAGUAAAGUUAAUACCUUUGCUCAUUGACGUUCCUCGCAGAAGAAGCAGCGGCUAACUCCGUGCCAUCUCCCGCGGUACUACGGAGGGGUGCAUGCGUUAAUCGGACCUACUGGGUUGUAUAGUCUUAUGCAGUGCGGAUUGUUAAAGUCAGAUGAGAAAUCCCCCGGUUUUAUCCUGUGAACUGCUUCUUGAUAUUGCACUCUCUGACUUCGCGUAUGAGGGGGGUAAUACUAUCUAUCGCACGGUCACACUGACACACUUCUGGCAGUCCACCGGCUGCCCAUGUGUCCCCCCUGGAUAAAUCUCGCCCCCCAGUUCCUAUUGCUUGGU